rnacentral:rRNA from 1 species
GAUGAACGCUGGCGGCGUGCCUAAUACAUGCAAGUCGAGCGAACAGAUGAGGAGCUUGCUCCUCUGACGUUAGCGGCGGACGGGUGAGUAACACGUGGAUAACCUACCUAUAAGACUGGGAUAACUUCGGGAAACCGGAGCUAAUACCGGAUAAUAUAUUGAACCGCAUGGUUCAAUAGUGAAAGACGGUUUUGCUGUCACUUAUAGAUGGAUCCGCGCCGCAUUAGCUAGUUGGUAAGGUAACGGCUUACCAAGGCAACGAUGCGUAGCCGACCUGAGAGGAGGAGAAGACACAAUGGGACUGAGAACCGGUACAGAAACACACGGGAGGCAGCACGAGGGAUGAUUCAUGAAUGAGCGAAAUUCGGAAAGAGCAAAGAAGCGGGAAGCAUGAAGGUUUUCGAAUAUUAACACUCUGUGAUUAAGCAACAACAAAAGGGCAAGGAUCUCUGCACGUCUGGAGGGGCGGUAACAGGACGGACAAACAGAACUCUGGC